rnacentral:lncRNA from 1 species
CCUUUUUCUCUUCUCCCACAAGAGUAGCUUAGUCAUAUUUUUUCAAAGAGAUGAUACAUAAAUUAGGUAUGACUCAGCAGUCAAUGAGUCUAAAAGCCCAUAAUUCUCCAGUUUGUUAAUCAUUUCUUUUCCAAUACGACCUAGCCAUUGGCUCCACAUAUACUUUAGAUUUAUCUCAAUUCUGGAUCUCUCAGAUCCAAUGACAUUCACUGCUUACUCAAUUAAGUUCAC